rnacentral:lncRNA from 1 species
UUUAAUCUGCUGUUAUUUUGAUCCUUUGGUGCUUUUUAUUUUUAGUUUGAGUUCAUAAUUGUGUCUUAGUUCUUACACAAUUUCCAUUCUUACAUUUCCAUUGUGUUAAUUUUGGUUAUCUUGCUGUUUUCUUCCAGUUUUCCAGAUUUCCCCUGUAUCAUCUCUCUGUUCUGGGCUGUUUUGUUUAACAAAAUUUUUCCACCCAUAGGAAAAUUCUGAUUUUCU